rnacentral:rRNA from 1 species
CCUACGGGGGGCAGCAGUGAGGAAUAUUGGUCAAUGGCCGGAAGGCUGACCCAGCCAUGCCGCGUGAAGGUCAGUGCCCUAUGGGCGUUAAACUUCUUUUGUGCGGGAGCAAUAAUGGUCACGUGUGGCCAGACGAGAGUACCGUACGAAUAAGCAUCGGCUAACUCCGUGCCAGCAGCCGCGGUAAAACAGGGGGGGCAAGCCUUAUCCCGAUUUAUUGGGGUUAAAGGGUGCGUAGGCUGUGAGGUAAGUCAGCGGUGAAAGGCCCCCGCUCAACGGGGUGAAGUGCCAUUGAUACUGGCUAGCUGGAAUGCGGAUGCGGUAGGAGGAAUGUGUGGUGUAGCGGUGAAAUGCAUAGAUAUCAGACAGAACACCGAUUGCGAAGGCAUCUAACGAGU